GAUGAACGCUGGCGGCGUGCCUAAUACAUGCAAGUCGAGCGAACAGACGAGGAGCUUGCUUUUCUGACGUUAGCGGCGGACGGGUGAGUAACACGUGGAUAACCUACCUAUAAGACUGGGAUAACUUCGGGAAACCGGAGCUAAUACCGGAUAAUAUAUUGAACCGCAUGGUUCAAUAGUGAAAGACGGUUUUGCUGUCACUUAUAGAUGGAUCCGCGCCGCAUUAGCUAGUUGGUAAGGUAACGGCUUACCAAGGCGACGAUGCGUAGCCGACCUGAGAGGGUGAUCGGCCACACUGGAACUGAGACACGGUCCAGACUCCUACGGGAGGCAGCAGUAGGGAAUCUUCCGCAAUGGGCGAAAGCCUGACGGAGCAACGCCGCGUGAGUGAUGAAGGUCUUCGGAUCGUAAAACUCUGUUAUUAGGGAAGAACAAAUGUGUAAGUAACUAUGCACGUCUUGACGGUACCUAAUCAGAAAGCCACGGCUAACUACGUG
rnacentral:rRNA from 1 species